GGUAGGACAGAUGAUUAGGGUGAAGUCGUAACAAGGUAGCCGUAGGAGAACCUGCGGCUGGAUCACCUCCUUUCUAAGGAAG
rnacentral:rRNA from 1 species